GUGAUUGUAACUCAGCCGGUAGAGUGUUGUACUUAUAUAAUGCAAAGGUCGAGAGUUCGAUCCUCUCCUAUCACA
rnacentral:tRNA from 1 species